AGGCAGCAGCAGGGAAUAUUGCACAAUGGGCGAAAGCCUGAUGCAGCGACGCCGCGUGCGGGAUGAAGGCCUUCGGGUUGUAAACCGCUUUCAGGAGGGACGAAAAUGACGGUACCUCCAGAAGAAGGCCCGGCCAACUACGUGCCAGCAGCCGCGGUAAUACGUAGGGGCCAAGCGUUGUCCGGAUUUAUUGGGCGUAAAGGGCUCGUAGGCGGUUUAGUAAGUCAAUCGUGAAAUGUCGGGGCUCAACCCCGAGACUGCGGUCGAAACUGCUAUGACUAGGGUCCGGUAGAGGUGAGUGGAAUUCUCGGUGUAGCGGUGAAAUGCGCAGAUAUCGAGAGGAACACCAGUAGCGAAGGCGGCUCACUGGGCCGGUACCGACGCUGAGGAGCGAAAGCGUGGGGAGCAAACAGGAUUAGAUACCCUGGUAGUCCACGCCGUAAACGUUGAACACUAGGUGUGGCGGACUUAUCCACGUCUGCCGUGCCGACGCUAACGCAUUAAGUGUUCCGCCUGGGGAGUGCGGCCGCAAGGCUAAAACUCAAAUGAAUUGACGG
rnacentral:rRNA from 1 species